rnacentral:rRNA from 1 species
AUAACCGCGGCAUGGAGCUGCGGGCAAGCGGAAGAGGAGCCUGAUAGGAAAAACCGUCAGGCAAUCCAAAGCCGUGAUGCGGACCGAAUAAAAGUAGGGAAGUAUGUGAGCCAACUGUCAAGAAAAGCCGCUAUUGUGUAUACAGCACCCGUACCAUAAACCGACACAGGUGGAUGAGGAGAGAAUCCUAAGGCCGACGGAAGAAGCAUUGUCAAGGAACUCGGCAAAAUGACCCCGUAACUUCGGGAGAAGGGGUGCCUCGCAAGAGGCCGCAGAGAAUUGGCCCAAGCAACUGUUUAGCAAAAACACAGGUCUAUGCAAAACCGUAAGGUGAGGUAUAUGGGCUGACGCCUGCCCGGUGCUGGAAGGUUAAGAGGAGAGGUUAGAGCAAUCGAAGCUUUGAAUUUAAGCCCCAGUAAACGGCGGCCGUAACUAUAACGGUCCUAAGGUAGCGAAAUUCCUUGUCGGGUAAGUUCCGACCCGCACGAAAGGCGUAAUGAUUUGGGCGCUGUCUCGACAAUGCAUCCGGUGAAAUUGAAGUACCAGUGAAGAUGCUGGUUACCCGCGCCAGGACGGAAAGACCCCAUGGAGCUUUACUCCAGCUUGAUACUGGGAUUCGGUACUGCAUGUACAGGAUAGGUGGGAGGCUAUGAGCCGGUGACGCCAGUUGCCGGGGAGCCGCUGUUGGGAUACCACCCUUGCGGUAUUGGAUUUCUAACACGCCGCCGUGAACCGGCGGGUGGACAAUGUCAGGCGGGGAGUUUGACUGGGGCGGUCGCCUCCGAAAGGGUAUCGGAGGCGCCCAAAGGUUCCCUCAGAAUGGUUGGAAACCAUUCGCAGAGUGCAAAGGCAGAAGGGAGCUUGACUGUGACACCGACGGGUGGAACAGGUACGAAAGUAGGGCUUAGUGAUCCGGUGGUAUUAAGUGGGAAUGCCAUCGCUCAACGGAUAAAAGCUACCCUGGGAUAACAGGCUUAUCACUCCCAAGAGUUCACAUCGACGGAGUGGUUUGGCACCUCGAUGUCGGCUCAUCGCAUCCUGGGGUUGUAGUAGGUCCCAAGGGUUGGGCUGUUCGCCCAUUAAAGCGGUACGCGAGCUGGGUUCAGAACGUCGUGAGACAGUUCGGUCCCUAUCCGGCGUGGGCGCAGGAUAUUUGAGAGGAGCUGUCCUUAGUACGAGAGGACCGGGAUGGACCGACCGCUGGUGCACCGGCUGUUCCGCCAGGAGCAUAGCCGGGUAGCCAAGUCGGGCAGGGAUAAACGCUGAAGGCAUCUAAGCGUGAAGCCCCCCUCAAGAUGAGAUAUCCCAUGCGAAAGCAAUAAGACCCCUUGAAGACGACGAGGUAGAUAGGUCAGAGGUGGAAGCACAGCAAUGUGCGGAGCUGACUGAUACUAAUAGGUCGAAGGCUUAUAC